rnacentral:lncRNA from 1 species
CCCCAGCCUGGGGAGACCCAGAAGGUUUCCCACCUGCACCUUUAGCCUGUGGAUAUGGCCAUGGAUUGCUGUGUGAUCCUGCAGGAUCUGAUUCACUGUCUGCAGGGAAUCUGGGGUUUAAGAUGUUGGAAGCAGUCCAAGAACUGCGUUGUACCCCAUCAAAAUGAAGUUUUCAUGGCAUGAACGUGAAGAUGCUGCAUGCCUUGGAUGUGCCCUGAACACAUACUGGGAAUUCCUGAGGGUGCAAAGUCUCCUGGAGCAGCACAAGGAGUCAUCUUUAAAACAUCUAAGUGUUCAUUUUGGGGUUUUUUAAGAAUUCAAAGAGUUAAUGAAGUAUUUUGCUCCAGAGGGAAAUCCAUGAGUGAAUUACAGCAUCCUAGACACGAGUUAUUUGGGAGAACAGAAAAGCACAG